CUAAUCCAACAUCUAUUGGAUGUUGGAUCGGUUGGAUGACUAGAAUUAAUUAGAUCAGAUCGGAUGGUAAAAUUUAACAUCUAAUAUAUAGUUAGAUCGGAUUUAGAUAGACCUAAAAAUAUUGGAUGUGUUCCAAUGAACACUUAUAGGUGUUGUGUUUGACCAUAUUUUUUUUAAAAAAAAUAAUUUUUUGAAAACUCAAUUUAAAAAACAAAAGUCUCAAAACGUAAAGAAUGUUGUUUUCUAUUAAAUAAUUUUUUUUGUCGAACUUAUUUUUCUUUUUCUCAUAUUUUUUCUCACAUAUUUUUUUUUUCAUCAUUAGACCUAACCUUGUCAAGGGCUGGGUUCCUCGUACAGAUCGUCUGGGGUCCUUGUCUAAGUCUGGAGUUUGAGCUUGAGUUGGGUACUGGACCGAGAUCGGGGAUAACGUUCGUAGUUCAUGCCGAGGUUGGGGUUGGGUUCGUGUCUAAGGUGUGAAAUCUUGAAGUUUUUCUUUUUUUUUCUUAAUAAUCUAAAAUCAAUUUUUGAAAACAUUAAUUAAUACGUCUUUUAUUUUGAAAACUAUAAAAAAAUAUUUUCUAUUCUUAUUGCUGAAAAUACAUUUUUUUUAAAAAAAUAAAAAAAAUAAAAAACAAUACCAAACACUCUUAAAGGGUUAGUUAUACUAUUUUUUAUGUUUUUUGUUUGGUUGAAAUUCCAUUUUAUGUUGGUUAAACACAAGUUUCGUGCUCUCACAAGUCACAACAUAUAUGUGAUGAGGUUUUUGUUCUUUAUGGUUUUUGGUAUUAUUUAAAAUAUACUUUUUUUUUUUCUGAGUAAAAUAUACUUUUAUUGAAAGCUUUUAGGUGUAUCUAUAAAUGUAAGUUGAUGAUGAUACGGUACUUUUAUGGUGCAGUAUAUUUAUUACUUAAUUGCUACCUGUACAGUAAUUUUUUAAUUUUUUUUUAUAUUUAUUUAUAGUAGUUAUUAUUUGCUGCAAAUCAUGAAUUAAAUAUCGAGCUCUUUGGUUAGGUAGAUUCCUAAAAAUAUAUGAGGUAAAUAAAUAGCUUUGUCUUUAAAAUAUUUUUAGAAAGUAUCCAAGUUAGAUUUAACAUGAAGUCAUGAGUCAUAACACCAAACAUAAAAUUUUCACUAUUUGAAAAGAAAGGUUGAGUAUUGUUCUAUGUUUUAAUCUUGAAUAAAUAAAAAUACUAUUUUUAUUUUUUUCAUAAAAGAAAAAAUCCUACACUGUUUGCUAUCGGUCAACGGUCAACCAAAAGUCAAGAAUUAGAGCCUUCCAUCGUCGACUCCGUCUCUACCGGCCUUUCAUCUUGCUCCGGCGCCGAACUCCAGCCAACCUUAUAACCACGAAUAAACUCUGUUUAGUUUAUUCAGCUGAUGAUUUGGGAGUUGGGAGAGGUGUUUAUGUGUUUG